rnacentral:rRNA from 1 species
UACGUAGGGUGCGAGCGUUGUCCGGAAUUACUGGGCGUAAAGAGCUCGUAGGCGGUAGUUCAAGUCAGGUGUGAAAUCCGACGGCUUAACCGUCAGGCGUCCAGAGGAUACUGCCAGGCUUGGGACCGGGAGAGGUGAGAGGUACCUCAGGGGUAGGGGUGAAAUCUUGUGAUCCCUGAGGGACCACCAGUGGCGAAGGCGUCUCACUAGAACGGGUCCGACGGUCAGGGACGAAAGCUGGGGGCACGAACAGG